AGUGGCGCAAGGGUGAGUAAUGCGAAGGUAACCAACCCUGGAGUUGGGCAUAGCCGCGGGAAACUGCGGGUAAUUCCCAGCGAUGUCGCGAGAUGGCAUCAUCUUGCGACCAAAGGUGUGAUUCCGCUCUAGGACGGGCCUUCGUGGUAUUAGGUAGUUGGUGAGGUAACGGCUCACCAAGCCGACGAUGCCUACCGGGUGUGAGAGCAUGACCCGGCACACUGGAACUGAGACACUGUCCAGACACCUACGGGUGGCUGCAGUCGAGAAUCUUCGGCAAUGGGCGAAAGCCUGACCGAGCGACGCCGCGUGAGGGAAGAAGGCCUUCGGGUUGUAAACCUCUUUCGUAGAGGAGGAAGGGGCCGUGCAGAGCGGUCUUUGACCUAUUCUAGGAAGAAGCUUGGGCUAAGUUCGUGCCAGCAGCCGCGGUAAGACGAACCAAGCGAACGUUAUUCGGAAUUACUGGGCUUAAAGCGCGUGUAGGCGGAUGACCACGUCAGUCGUUGAAAUCCCCCGGCUCAACCGGGGAACAGGCGCUGAUACGAGUUGUCUGGAGGUGGGUAGGGGAGACUGGAACUUCCGGUGGAGCGGUGAAAUGCGUUGAGAUCGGAAGGAACGCCCGCGGCGAAAGCGAGUCUCUGGACCCAUUCUGACGCUGAGACGCGAAAGCCAGGGGAGCAAACGGGAUUAGAUACCCCGG
rnacentral:rRNA from 1 species